rnacentral:rRNA from 1 species
CUACGGGUGGCUCCAGUUAGGAAUAAUCUACAAUGCGCGCAAGCGUGAUAGUUUGAGUCGGAGUGCGUCUCAUUUUGGGAUGCUUUUCUGUACUCUAAAACGGUACAGGAAUAAGGACUGGGUAAGACGAGUGCCAGCCGCCGCGGUAAUACUCGCGGUCCAAGUCGCAGCCAUUUUUAUUGGGUCUAAAACAUCCGUAGCUUGCCUGGUAAGUUCCUUGUGAAAUUCCAUAUCUUAAAUAUGGAGCGAGCAGGGAGUACUGCCUGGCUAGAGACUGGAAGACGUAAUGAGUACGUUCAAAGUAGCGGUAAAAUGUGUUAAUCUUGAACGGACUAACAAUAGCGAAGGCACAUUACGAGGACAGUUCUGACAGUAAGGGAUGAAGGCUAGGGGCGCAAAACGGAUUAGAUACCCCUGUAGUC